rnacentral:lncRNA from 1 species
CGGAAAUCGCCGAAGACAUGUUUUAAAAAAAAAAAAAAAAAAAUACUUAAAUGGUUGUAAGAUUGCCUUCUUUAGCAGUUUACGUUACGAAAUCGAGUUCUGUUUUGGCGAUUCGCGAUUAUUCUGCCCGUCGUUUUUCUUUCGGAAAAACAGUUUCCAUCCUAAAAAUUACCCGCCCCUAAACGCUCUAAAUUUUCGACAAUCGUUAGAAUUUAUCUAGCAGAAUGACAGACGAAUGCAGAAAACAACCCAUCUCGAAUUUUCUUAAAAACUGUUCGAGCGUUUAAUGUGGCGUAGUGUCGAUACCGUCCUUCCACUUACGCGCCUGUUUGAACUGCUUUUAAUGUCAUCAUCGAAACUUAAAGACUUCAUUUAAUUCAAUAAAGAGGAUUAAAUCAAUCGCUAUCCAUUAAUAUUAUAUAAUCUUAAAUCAAACUGAAUAAUUAGUUUCGUACAUAAAAAAGGGUCAAGAUUUAAUAAUCAAUAAGUAGCAUUUUCGCCAAGUGGUAAUUUAGAAUGCCAAUGUUUCAUCCUAUGGCUCCAGGGAAUAUUUUGAUUCUCAGAUGAAUAAAUGCUUAGUUAAAACCUGUCUGCAAACAUUUAUUCUGCACUUAUCAGUUCUAAAUCGAAUUAUAACUAUACUUUAUGAAGUCAUAAUAACCGUAAACUCUUCUCUCGAAUCGUUAUUAAUGAUCGUUUUGUCUAUUGUUGCGCCCAUUUUGUUUUUGUUGUUGUUAAAAAGAAUAAUUUUUUCUUUUUUUCUUUUCGGGUUUUAUUAAGUGUGAAGAUUUAAAAUAGGGCAUUUAGGAAGGACAUGACAGAGCUUGACAGCAGCAAUUCAAUUCGUAGCUCUCACUUUAGUUCGUCAGGCAGACCAGUUCGACCAGUAUUGUCUCUUGUCUCUCUCUCUCUCUUCUGGCUCCUGUUUGAUGCCUUCCCUUCACGACGAGGAACCAUUCGACAGUACAAAGUAUAUUUUUUCGACUUAAAAUCGAACUGAUCUUCGAUAAAUUCUCGAAUUUUCGGAGUUUAAAAUAUAUAUAUUUGUUUCUUUUGUUAGUUCGUUUGUUAAACUUCUUAACGUUUAAAACUCGGUUAGAAGUGCGAUCGGAGUGCUUAAUAUUUUAAUUGAUCGUAUGGCUCGACAAACGCACGAACUUCGAAAAGAUAUGGAAGAAAAUUCCUAGUUUAUAGAUGGGAAAGAAUAGACGAGGCGCCAUGUUGACGACCAAUAUACGUCCUUGUUUCUUAUGUCGCGUAAUAAAACGACAGCUCCGGAUUGUUAAUACGUCGAGUCAUUAACAGUUAAGGGAUUUUUUUUUUUUUCGUUUAUCCUUUUUUUUAACUUCCUCUUUGUCGUCCCUCGUACACUCAAAAACCGUGAACCGGGCCAAAUAUUUAGUAAUUGCCAGCAGGCGGCACAUAUACCUAUUUGUCUUAAUUAUUUACAGCGUGUCAUCUCCGUAAAAGUUGGUCGAAAAGGGCCAACGACGUCGCUUUCGUGUUCCAACAGAUUAAAAGGUCAAAGUUCAUAUUUGAAUAUUUUUCCUCUUCCGAACCAGCUCUUGCGGGGCGAAGAAAAAUAUCCAGUGUGUAUGUGUUCUAGCUUGAACCUACUCGUCUAGCAAGGACAAAGAACGACCAGUUUAUAUUCGAUAGGCCCUAUCGCUUUUGCCACUCAAAUUCGUAUUCCGUGCAAGAUACGUAACGCUGUAGUUAAUUAAUAACAAUUUUUUUGUUAGUUUAGAGACGAUUCUUCUUUAUAGGGUCCUG